rnacentral:lncRNA from 1 species
GAUUGACGCUAGAGCAAGAAUCCAAAUCCAUAUUCGAGAAGGAGCAAACAAUCAGACAUCAUGACCCCAUGCAAAGGAAUCUCAUCAUACCAUUCAAAUGCCACUAUUUUAAGGCUAGUCGAGAUGCAAUGUUUAAUCGCUAAGGUCCCAGCCAAUAUUAAAGUGCCGGUUUAAUAAUUAGAAGUGCCACCUCCCUCGCAGCC